UUUUUGGAGAGUUUGAUCCUGGCUCAGGACGAACGCUGGCGGCGUGCCUAAUACAUGCAAGUCGAGCGGACUU
rfam:Bacillus badius strain MTCC 1458 Contig14, whole genome shotgun sequence.